AACGAACGCUGGCGGCAUGCCUAACACAUGCAAGUCGAACGAGAUCUUCAGGUCCAGUGGCGCACGGGUGCGUAGCGCGUGGGAAUCUGCCCUUUGGUUCGGAAUAACAGUUGGAAACGACUGCUAAUACCGGAUGAUGACGAAAGUCCAAAGAUUUAUCGCCAGAGGAUGAGCCCGCGUAGGAUUAGCUAGUUGGUGUGGUAAAGGCGCACCAAGGCGACGAUCCUUAGCUGGUCUGAGAGGAUGAUCAGCCACACUGGGACUGAGACACGGCCCAGACUCCUACGGGAGGCAGCAGUGGGGAAUAUUGGACAAUGGGCGAAAGCCUGAUCCAGCAAUGCCGCGUGAGUGAUGAAGGCCUUAGGGUUGUAAAGCUCUUUUACCCGGGAUGAUAAUGACAGUACCGGGAGAAUAAGCUCCGGCUAACUCCGUGCCAGCAGCCGCCGUAAGAC
rnacentral:rRNA from 1 species